rnacentral:rRNA from 1 species
GAUGAACGCUGGCGGCGUGUUUAACACAUGCAAGUCGAGCGAGAAGCUCAUGACAGAUACUUCGGUUGAUGGAUUGAGUGGAAAGCGGCGGACGGGUGAGUAACGCGUAGGCAACCUGCCCCAUGCAGAGGGAUAGCCUCGGGAAACCGGGAUUAAAACCUCAUAAUGCGGCACCGGGACAUCCCGGAGCCGCCAAAGAUUUAUCGGCAUGGGAUGGGCCUGCGUCUGAUUAGUUAGUUGGUGGGGUAACGGCCUACCAAGGCGACGAUCAGUAGCCGACCUGAGAGGGUGAUCGGCCACAUUGGAACUGAGACACGGUCCAAACUCC